rnacentral:rRNA from 1 species
AUGGCUGCGGCGUUGGCUGAUGAGGAAACACAUGCAGCACCACAAUUUGAAGUUGUUGCCAGUCCCAGUAGGCACAUGAUCACUAUGCCACAUAGUCUUCAAGGCAGUCCCAAUCCUGUGACAAGAAGGAUGUUGGCUAUGGCGUUGGCGGAUGAGGCGUCCCAGCAACCUACCACAACCGUUGGGAACACCAUGAUUGCAUAUGACAUGUCCUCGAGCUCAAGGGCUAGAAAGUUGACCCCGAAGAGAAGGAAGAGCUAG